rnacentral:ncRNA from 1 species
UGCUAGCCUUGGGCGACCCCGACGAGACGCGCCGUACCGGGACGGGACCGCCAGGUCCACAGGCAAAGACGACGCACC